GGCACUAUAGCCAAGUGGUUAAGGCGACAGAUUAGAAUUAGCUGAAAUAAUGGUCUAUCUGUUACUCUCUGAGUGCGCAGGUUCAAAUCCUGCUGGUGUCG